rnacentral:tRNA from 1 species
GUUAAGGUGGCAGAGUCUGGUAAUUGCAAAAGACCUAAGCUCUUUCUACCAGAGGUUCAAUCCCUCUUCUUAAC